rnacentral:rRNA from 1 species
CCUACGGGAGGCAGCAGUAGGGAAUUUUCGUCAAUGGGGGAAACCCUGAUGCAGCGACGCCGCGUGAAGGAAGAAGUAUUUCGGUAUGUAAACUUCUAUCAGCAGGGAAGAAAAUGACGGUACCUGACUAAUAAGCCCCGGCUAACUACGUGCCAGCAGCCGCGGUAAUACGGAGGGUGCAAGCGUUAUCCGGAUUUACUGGGUGUAAAGGGAGCGUAGGCGGGAGUGGAAGUCAGAAGUUAAAGCCUGCGGCUCAACUGCGGGACUGCCUUUGAAACUGUAUGUCUAGAUUGCAGGAGAGGUAGGUGGAAUUCCUAGUGUAGCGGUGAAAUGCGUAGAUAUCAGGAGGAACACCAGUGGCGAAGGCGGCUUACUGGAGUGUAAAUGACGCUGAGGCUCGAAAGCGUGGGGAGCAAACAGGAUUAGAUACCCGAGUAGUC